CGCUUUUUUUACAGCAAUGGCGGCUCGUGGAGCCUCUCAAUAGUUCCCGGAAGUAGCGGCAAACCGAUGCCGCGCCGUAGAAGAUGCAGCAGAACAAACCGUUUGCGACGCACUUUUAACAGGUGGAGGAUUAGUGGUGCCACUGAAGUGUUCUGUGAUGGAGCAUCAGUGAUGAUGCAGACCCUGGUAACUGGCUGAUGGUUCACAGGAAUGCUGACUGGCUGCUGACUGACUUGCUGCAUGACUGGGCAGUGUCAGCUGUCCCUGUCUCUCCUCUCUAGCCAUGUCCUUUUUCUUCACUCUCACUUUCCUUUCUCUGAGUGUCCUCGUUCUUUUUUCCUCAACCUUUGAAACUGAUAGAAGUCUAGGGGUGCAUCGUGGAGCAGGGCCCUCCUCUUUUUGACCACAGGACGAUGUACAAAAAUUGUGGGAAUAGCAUCUGGUCUCAGCCUACUCUUGAAUUUUUUGGUCAUGACAAAUUGCAUUGCCGCAAUUUGUCUGCAUACUGACUUCAGUUUAGUUUCCACACACACCUUUUUUUUUUCUACCCACUUACAGUACAUAUCACAUGGUGGUUAAAUGCACAGUUAUAGGUAACACUGAUGACUCCCUGCAAUGUCUCACCAUGAGUCUCAGCUCCCUGGGUUUUGCAAGGCUUUGCUUGUUCCUUAUUUCUAGUAAAACAUUGUCAAUGUAAAAAGGUGCAAAUAAAUGUAAGUAUAAUUACCUAACAAUUUUUUGUUGUUGUAAUUUUUAUUUGUAUUUAGAUUGCUCCUGCUGACUUGAGCCAACCAUUAUUUUCUCCUCUCUAUGUCAGCUGGGAAGCCAUACAUUCGCACACCUUUCUCUGACCGAGUGGAGCAUCCCCAUGCAGCACAGUAAACCACGGUGGAUACUAUGCAAGGACAACAUGAAAGAAAGGACACAUACAAAAUGCUUUUCAUGCUAUUAAAUUUAUUAGAAAUGUAUUCAUGAAUUGCUGUAAAUAGUUAAUUGUAUAAUUACAAUUUAAAAUAACUGUUUUCUAUUUUAAAAUGGAAUAUACUCCUGUGAUGCCAACCUGAAUUUUCAGCAUCAUUACUUUUGAAUGGCAGUGUGCAUGUUUAUAUACGAGCAUGCUUAAGUUGUUUUAAACCUGAAUAUAUUGUGUACAUGAAUAAGUAUUGUAAGAAUUAUACUAGAUAUAAUAGGUAUAUUAUUUAUAAUACAUAAUUAUAUUACUAUAUGUAAAUGUAAGAAUUAUAAACAGUAAGCUUCAUUUUACAUUUAUUUAACAUGCUAAUUACUGCUGGUAACAGUUAAUUGACCCAUAGUGCGGUGCGAGCUGAAAAUCACCUGUCACCAGCCUGUCUCUGUACUACCUGAAAGUCAUCAAUAUGACAUGAGUUAACAUUAGAUCAGUGAAAAAAUGGACAAUAUGUAACGUAAAAAGGCAACAGCAACCCGUGUUUAUAAAACUUAACGUUAGCCUGAAAUACGUUUUUAAAAUAACGGUAAUUGAACACUAAUCCUCAAAUAUUACCCGAUUUGAUAUUUUAAAAACAACA